UUUACCCUGAAGUCCUAAACUCAUAAACACACGUUUACAGAGCGAAAGAGAGAUGGAGAGAGCACGACGUGAGAGAGAAACAAAUGAAAGGAAGUGGAAGCCGAUCACCCCAAUCCGAUGAAGGUGAUGAUGGCGAUGACUCCGACAACCAGAUUGGCAGUGAUGGCGGCUAGGGUUCCAGUUUGGGGGUUUUGAAACCAGAUCGUCAAGGUGUUGAGGACGUCUGCAAUCUGGCUGGCGGCUAGGGUUCCAGUUAGAUCGUCUAAAGUCGUCUUGCUCGGAAUUCGUGGGAAAGACUCCCUUUUAGCUUAAGUCAUGGUGGGCUGGCACCGUCACGUGCAGUCUAUACUUCUACAUGUUGGAAAAAGAGCGGAAAACAUCUGUUAUACUCAUGCCACCUUUUCCACCUCUCCGUUGAAGUUCUCUCCGCUCCAAGAGUUUAACUUCGGUUACUAUUCGCAUGUUUACUAUCUCAUUUACAUGGCCUUUGUGUUCCACUGGCUGUCUCCGGACCUUUAUAUCACUAUUUCCAGCACUGAUAAUUUCAAGGCUUAAACAGGUGUUGAGCCUGUUAGACGAGGUGUGAGGUUCAAAACUGAGCAAAUCAUGGCAGGCGCUGCACCAGAAGGUUCCCAGUUUGACACUCGUCACUUUGAUUCCAAAAUGAACGAGCUGAUUUCUACUGAUGGACAAGAUUUUUUCACAUCGUAUGAUGAAGUUUAUGAUAUUUUUGAUGCUAUGGGUUUGCAAGAAAAUCUUUUAAGAGGCAUCUAUGCAUAUGGUACAAGUUUUUACAGCAGUUGUGGAAGAGGAUGCUUACAAACAUCUUGAAGUGGAUACAUGGCAAGAGCUCUCCUUAGACUGGCAAAGUGCCUGGCAUCAGUUUUGCUCCAGCUUAUGUAAUUAACUACAUCGAUGCGACAUAGUGAGAACCGACUAAAUCUCAAUAUAAAUUUAGCCCCCACCGCAUCGCGGCGGGUUACAUUUCUAGUUCCUGAUUAACAAGUAAAACCCAAGGUUAUCAUCCUUUAGAUGUCAUGUCAUACUUUUUUACACAUGAGUUGGUAGUCCUAAUGAGAGAUGCUGUGCCCUUUAUUUUACUUUGGUAACAUGGUGAUAUUUAAAGAUGUCAUAUUCUGAAUUUGUAGACUAUUUGUAAGUAA